rnacentral:rRNA from 1 species
GAUUUGAUCAUGCGCGCUCGAUUGAACGCUGGCGGGAUCUUUACACAUGCAAGUCGAACGGCAGCACGGACUUCCGGUCUGGUGGCGUGUAAAACGGUGAGGUAAUAUUAAUGGAACGUGCCUAGUAGCGGGGGAUAACUACGCAAGCGUGUGUCCUCUACGCCCUUCGAGAAAGCAGGGGACCUUCAGGGCUCGCACUAUUAAAGAGCAACCAUUAUCCGGAUUAGCUAGUUGGUGGGUAACCAGCUCACCAAGGCGACGAUCCGUAGCUAUGGUUGAGAGGACGACCAGCCACACUGGGACUGAGACACGACCCCGAACUCCUGGGAGGCAGCAGUGGGGAAUUUUGGACAAUGGGGAAACCCUGAUCCAGCCAUCCCGCGUGUGCGAUGAAGGCCUUCGGGUUGUAAAGCACUUUUGGCAGGAAAAACGGCACGGGAUAUUACCCGUGCAACUGACGGUACCUGCAGAAUAGCACCGGCUAACUACGUGCCAGCAGCCGCGAUGUACGUAGGGUGCAAGCGCUAAUCGGAAUUACUGGGCGUAAAGCCGAUGCCGAGCGGUUUCGGAAGAAAGAUGUGAAAAUCGGAAACGCUUUGGAACUGCAUUUUUAACUACCGAGCUAGAGUGUGUCAGAGGGAGGUGGAAUUCCGCGUGUGGCAGUGAAAUGCGUAGAUAUGCGGAGAACACCGAUGGCGAAGGCAGCCUCCUGGGAUAACACUGACGCUCAUGCACGAAAGCGUGGGGAGCAAACGGGAUUAGAUACCCUGGUAGUCCACGCCUAAAACGAUGUCAACUAGCUGUUGGGGCCUUCGGGCCUUGGUAGCGCAGCUAACAGCGUGAAGUUGACCUUUUAGAAUACGGUCUGGAUUCGCUCGAGAAUUGACGGGGACCCGCACAAGCGGUGGAUGAUGUGGAUUAAUUCGAUGCAACGCGAAAAACCUUACCUACCCUUGACAUGUCUGGAAUCCCGAAGAGAUUUGCAGGGUGCUCGCAAGAGAACGGAACACAGGUGCUGCAUGGCUGUCGUCAGCUCGUGUCGUGAGAUGUUGGGUUAAGUCCCGCAGCGAGCGCAACCCCUUGUCAUUAGUUGCUACGAAAGGGCACUCUAAUGAGACUGCCGGUGACAAACCGGAGGAAGGUGGGGAUGACGUCAAAGUCCUCAUGGCCCAUAUGGGUAGGGCUUCACGUCAUCACAAUGGUCAGGACAGAGGAAUUCGCCAACCCGCGAGGGGGAGCCAAUCCCAGAAACCCGAUCGUAGUCCGGAUCGCAGUCUGCAACUCGACUGCGUGAAGUCGGAAUCAUGGUAAUCGCGGAUCAGCAUGUCGCGGUGAAUACGUUCCCGGGUCUUGUACACCGCCCGUCACACCAUGGGGUGGGUUUUACCAGAAGUAGUUAGCCUAACCGUAAGGAGGGCGAUUACCACGGUAGGAUUCAUGACUGGGGUGAAGUCGUAACAAGGCCAA